AUUGAACGCUGGCGGCAGGCCUAACACAUGCAAGUCGAACGGCAGCACAGAAGAGCUUGCUCUUGGGGUGGCGAGUGGCGGACGGGUGAGUAAUGUCUGGGAAACUGCCCGAUGGAGGGGGAUAACUACUGGAAACGGUAGCUAAUACCGCAUAACGUCGCGAGACCAAAGAGGGGGACCUUCGGGCCUCGAACCAUCGGAGGUGCCAAGAUGGGAUUAGCUAGUAGGGGGGGUAAUGGCUCACCUAGGCGACGAUCCCUAGCUGGUCUGAGAGGAUGACCAGCCACACUGGAACUGAGACACGGUCCAGACUCCUACGGGAGGCAGCAGUGGGGAAUAUUGCACAAUGGGCGCAAGCCUGAUGCAGCCAUGCCGCGUGUAUGAAGAAGGCCUUCGGGUUGUAAAGUACUUUCAGCGGGGAGGAAGGCGGUGAGGUUAAUAACCUUGCCGAUUGACGUUACCCGCAGAAGAAGCACCGGCUAACUCCGUGCCAGCCGCCGCGGUAA
rnacentral:rRNA from 1 species